GAAGGAUCAUUACCGAGUUGAUUCGGGCUCCGUCCCGAUCCUCCCACCCUUUGUAUACCUACCUCUGUUGCUUUGGCGGGCCGCGGUCUUCCGCGGCCGCCCCCCGRWUUUGGGGGGUGGCUAGUGCCCGCCAGAGGACUAUCAAACUCCAGUCAGUAAACGUUGCAGUCUGAAAAAAAUAUUAAAUAAACUAAAACUUUCAACAACGGAUCUCUUGGUUCUGGCAUCGAUGAAGAACGCAGCGAAAUGCGAUAAGUAAUGUGAAUUGCAGAAUUCAGUGAAUCAUCGAAUCUUUGAACGCACAUUGCGCCCCUUGGUAUUCCGGGGGGCAUGCCUGUUCGAGCGUCAUUUCAACCCUCAAGCUCUGCUUGGUAUUGGGCACCGUCCUUUGCGGGCGCGCCUCAAAGACCUCGGCGGUGGCGUCUUGCCUCAAGCGUAGUAGAAUACACCUCGCUUCGGAGCGUAAGGCGUCGCCCGCCGGACGAACCUUCUGAACUUUUCUCAAGGUUGACCUCGGAUCAGGUAGGGAUACCCGCUGAACUUAA
rnacentral:rRNA from 1 species